rnacentral:SRP_RNA from 1 species
GCCGGAGGCCGUGGCUUGUGCCUGUAGUCCCAGCUACUCGGGAGGCUGAGGUGGGAGGAUCGCUUGAGCCCAGGAGUUCUGGGAUGUAGUGCGCUGUGCCGAUCGGGUGUCCACACUAAGUUAGGCAACAAUAUGGUGCCCUCCCGGGAGCAGGGGACCACCAGGUUGCCUAAGGAGGGGUGAACUGGCCCAAGUCGGAAAUGGAGCAGGUCAAAAAUCCCCUGCUGAUCAGUAGUGGGAUUGCGCCUGUGAAUAGCCACUGCACUCCAGCCUGGGCAACAUAGUGAGACCCCAUUUCU